rnacentral:ncRNA from 1 species
CAUCGCGAUGCUCCUUAAUUCAGGGAGAUAUCGUUAUGAAAAUACUCUCAAAGAAAGCGCUCAAAGAGUUGGUCUCGUACUCACUUCAACACAUCGCUCGAUUAGAGAAGGCAGGCACAUUUCCCAAGCGGGUAAUGCUGGGCCCUAACCGUGUCGGAUGGGUGGAACAGGAAGUCUUGGACUGGCUUGAAGAGCGACUACUCGCUCGAGAGUAAACACAUGCUUCUUUGGAGCAUGGGCGGCCCGGAGGUGCACACUUC